UUCAGAAUUGACGCUGGCGGCGUGCUUAACACAUGCAAGUCGAACGGAAAGGCCCUGCUUUUGUGGGGUGCUCGAGUGGCGAACGGGUGAGUAACACGUGAGUAACCUGCCCUUGACUUUGGGAUAACUUCAGGAAACUGGGGCUAAUACCGGAUAGGAGCUCCUGCUGCAUGGUGGGGGUUGGAAAGUUUCGGCGGUUGGGGAUGGACUCGCGGCUUAUCAGCUUGUUGGUGGGGUAGUGGCUUACCAAGGCUUUGACGGGUAGCCGGCCUGAGAGGGUGACCGGCCACAUUGGGACUGAGAUACGGCCCAGACUCCUACGGGAGGCAGCAGUGGGGAAUAUUGCACAAUGGGCGGAAGCCUGAUGCAGCAACGCCGCGUGCGGGAUGACGGCCUUCGGGUUGUAAACCGCUUUCGCCUGUGACGAAGCGUGAGUGACGGUAAUGGGUAAAGAAGCACCGGCUAACUACGUGCCAGCAGCCGCGGGUAAUA
rnacentral:rRNA from 1 species